CUCACUUUGCAAGCUCAGUCCCAGACAUCUUCUCUCUCCUCUCCCAAGCAGAACACAUUCUGCAGGCAAGAAGCUGUGCCUCAGUCCUUGACACCUACCCUCCCGAGACGGGGUCUUGCUAUGUUGCUCAGGUUGGCCUUGAACUCAAGGGAUCAUCCUGCUUCUGCCUCAAGAGUAGCUGGGAGCGCAGACGAGCACCACCACACUCAGCUCCUUACUCCCUCUUCCUCCUGCUAAAGAUCCCUAGGAAAUGCCAUCUGAAGAGCGAAGAGAUCUGUCGGGGCAUGGUGGCCCACCUGUAAUCCCAGCACUUGGGAGGCUGAGGCAAGAGGAUCCUUGGGGGCUUGAGACCAGCUGGGGCUAAAAAGGGAGAUCAAGGCCAGCCUGAACUGCACAGGGAGACCCUGUCUCGAAAAGAC